UUGAGCUGUACGAGAUGAAAGUCUCAUAUACGGUUCUCAGAGGGGGAAUUCCACCUAUCUCAAU
rfam:Ipomoea nil chloroplast DNA, complete sequence, cultivar: Tokyo-kokei standard